rnacentral:sRNA from 1 species
GCACAUUACCAUUAACCAGUACCUGCAGCAGGUGUACGAAGCCAUCGACAGCAGAGAUGGAGCAUCUUGUGCAGAGUUGGUGUCUUUUAAACAUCCUCAUGUUGCAAACCCACGACUUCAAAUGGCCUCUCCAGAGGAGAAGUGUCAACAAGUCUUGGAACCCCCUUAUGAUGAAAUGUUUGCAGCUCAUUUAAGGUGCACUUACGCAGUGGGGAAUCAUGACUUCAUAGAGGCAUACAAGUGCCAGACCGUGAUAGUCCAAUCAUUCUUGCGAGCAUUCCAGGCCCACAAAGAAGAAAACUGGGCUCUGCCUGUCAUGUAUGCAGUAGCGCUUGACCUUCGUGUGUUUGCCAAUAAUGCAGAUCAACAGUUGGUAAAGAAAGGAAAAAGCAAAGUUGGGGACAUGUUGGAAAAAGCAGCAGAGUUACUGAUGAGCUGUUUCCGGGUCUGUGCCAGCGACACAUCAACAAACUCCAUUUAUGUAAACCCCUAAUUAGAGCAAUUGACAGCUCAAACCUGAAAGACGAUUACAGCACUGCACAGAGAGUAACAUACAAAUACUACGUUGGACGCAAGGCUAUGUUUGACAGCGAUUUUAAGCAAGCUGAGGAGUACCUGUCAUUUGCCUUUGAGCAUUGUCACCGUUCUAGUCAGAAGAACAAAAGGAUGAUUCUGAUCUAUUUGCUUCCAGUAAAAAUGCUAUUGGGUCACAUGCCCACUGUGGAGCUCCUGAAAAAGUAUCACCUGAUGCAGUUUGCGGAAGUAACCAGAGCUGU